rnacentral:rRNA from 1 species
GCCUACGGGGCGCAGCAGUGGGGAAUAUUGCGCAAUGGGCGAAAGCCUGACGCAGCAACGCCGCGUGCUGGAUGACGGCCUUCGGGUUGUAAACCGCUUUCAGCAGGGACGAAGGGUUACCUUGACGGUACCUGCAGAAGAAGCACCGGCUAACUACGUGCCAGCAGCCGCGGUGAUACGUAGGGUGCGAGCGUUGUCCGGAAUUAUUGGGCGUAAAGAGCUUGUAGGCGGUUUGUUGCGUCGGAAGUGAAAACUCAGGGCUUAACCCUGAGCCUGCUUUCGAUACGGGCAGACUUGAGGGAUGUAGGGGAGAACGGAAUUCCUGGUGGAGCGGUGGAAUGCGCAGAUAUCAGGAGGAACACCAGUGGCGAAGGCGGUUCUCUGGACAUUUCCUGACGCUGAGAAGCGAAAGCGUGGGGAGCAAACAGGAUUAGAUACCCGCGUAC